rnacentral:lncRNA from 1 species
UAGUCUCAGCUUACUCAUGCUAAAGACCUGAAGGCUCCCCUAACCGUAUCAGCCAAAGUAGCUCUUUCAAGAAGCAUCAGAAAAUUUAGGUACGCACAGGCAGUAAAUAAAUCCUGAAGUUGGUGUAACUGCAGAUAAGCUUUUCUUAAGGUAGCAAAGUGCCUUGUUCGUGUACCAUACAAAGAAUACUGCUUUCUCCAAUGGACAUAUAAACAAGUGGAGCGUCGACAACUGGUGGCCACGCAGCACAAGUAGCUCUAGUCACCAAAGAAGGAACCACUCGGGUCCUUGUUCUGGCAUUCGGCAACGGAGAAUUUUAAUAAAGCAUUAAAAUUGAUAACUUCUGUAUAAACUCAGACUUUCAGCUCAAAUGUGAAACCUCCGAC